AUCUGAAUUUGAAUGCCCGAGUCUAUUCAGAAAGGACGUUUGUGCCACAGUUCUCUUCUAACACUCUCUUCCCAUGAAAAUGAAAAAUAAUAAUACACACAGCUUGUACUUCUUCAAAGCUACAGAAGCAUGGGUAAACAGAUACAGCUUGUGGAUCACUGUCCUCCUCCUCUCCUGGGUGCAGCUGUACAGGUGGAGACCAUUACUGCUUGCAUUUCAUCCUCAGUUGCUCAGGACCAUCUCAGCAUCUUCCUGAAGAUACUUCUCGCUCCAGAGGAUGCAGCACCGCAGAGGCUUGCCUGCAGGCUCCCAGACCUGAGACAGUUCUCAUGGGCCAGGUUAGCACAGACUGUGCAAGCUCACCCAGUUUAUUUUCACUGGUCCCUGUUACAGAGGACAAACUUGAGAGAUCUGGCUGGGUGGUCUGCAGGAGCACUGGCCAACGCCAGCACGGUGGUGUCUACCAGCCCCGUGUUUUGUAGACCAUGUCUCUGCACUUCUGGUGGAAGCUAUAUGGGAAAAUAGGAGAAUUCCUGGGGGCAGGAGAUUAACUUGUGAAAGGAGACAAUUGUGUAUCGAAUGCUUUGAUAUCUUUGUGGAGGUUCAAAGGAGAUUGAAUUGUUGUUUGCACCAUCUUUAUACCAUAUUAAUGCACCCACUGAUCAUCUGUGGAGGCUCCAAAUGACUGGUUUUUUUACUAUAUUGGUGCAUAAUUUGGAUUCUUUUAGUUCAAAUUAUAUUAUUCUCUUCAUUGAAAUAUUGGAAUGAAGAGCAUGACACUUUGGUUCUCCUAGUAGCAUUAAAAUUCUCCAGGUUCUGUUUGGGAGUGUGUUGUAGUUCAAAUCAGUGUUGACAUUUGGGGUCAAGAAGUAGUAUUUGCUCAUGUCACUUUGGUUAUUCCCACUGAGGUUUGUUUGGGGGAUUUUGCUUUUCGUAUAGGGUGAUGCACGGCCUACUUCCCUGUUCGUUUCCGUGGAGCAGCUCCAUGGACAGCAGCAAUGCCUUUGAUUUUUCCAGCUCUCUUCCCACAGCCUUUUAGUGUAGGCAGUCCCCUAACCUACCUGUGCAAUGUCAAACACGUGCAUACAGAAUGGGAGCUGAACAUGGUCAUCUCACGUCAAUGUAACUGGCAUCAAAGGAUCAAAGGAGGUUAAAAAAAAAAAAAAAAAAGGAUGACUACCUUCAGUUGUAAAACAUGACCUUUUAACUUUGUAUCGCUAAGCAGGAAAAAUGUUUUCAUUUCUCUGAAACUAUGUAGAAGUGAUAGUGCAUUAGUUUGACUUUUGACAUUAAUAUAGAACUAUAUUGUUUCUGAAGGAUCUCUUUUAGCAUGGCACUUUAAUUACUUAAAGUUCAGAUACACAAGUAUCUAAAGUUCAGGUAGAGCAGCCCACCAAAAGAAAAACAAACCAAACCAAAGGCAGGUAGCUUUGAGAAGGUCAUUUCUAUAGGUGGGGGGAUGAGUUAUCGGUAUCAUGUAGGUGAAGCAGAGUGCUCCCGUUCAAACUGGAAGGAUGCAUUUAAU
rnacentral:lncRNA from 1 species